GGAAGAGUGGCAGAGUGGUCGAUUGCACCGGUCUUGAAAACCGGCGAUGUGAAAGCAUCCGUGGGUUCGAAUCCCACCUCUUCCGCCA
rnacentral:tRNA from 1 species